UUUCUAAAAUACAAUUUAACAUACUUUAAACAUUAGGGUUGUUGUUUUUUUUAAACAACGUUUUAAUUCAAGGACAACAACAACAAAAAAUACAAAAAAAAUACAUGAUUUACAUGGGCUCCAAAAGUCUUGAUAUUUACAGGUAGAAGAGGCAGGAAGAACGGUCUGUCUCUACAGGUAGAAGAGGCAGGAAGAGCGGUCUGUCUCUACAGGUAGAAGAGGCAGGAAGAGCGGACUGUCUCUACAGGUAGAAGAGGCAGGAAAAGCGGUCUGUCUCUGUCUGGGCUCCUUGGCUUUCACUUGACGCGCUGUACUGCUCAUCACUCCGUUGUAACAUUGCUUGUCCACGGUUCAGUUUGUUAUAUUCUUUCAAUGGAAGAAAAA